rnacentral:rRNA from 1 species
AUGACUAGGGAUAACCUUAGGAAGAGACACAUCAUCAAACCCCUUGAUUGUGUUUACUGCUUGGAACAAGAGUCUUGUUCUCACCUAUUUUUUGAAUGUAUAGUUGCUAAACAUCUCUGGGCCCACAUUGAGGAAUAUUUCUCUAGUCAGAUUGGCUCAUCCUUCGAAUCUGUCGCCAGAUUCUGGAUUGCUACCAAAAGUGCUGUUUUAAACACUGUUAGCUCAGUUGUCCUUUGGUGCCUCUGGAAAUAUAGAAAUGCUAUGAUUUUCAGUAACACCUCCUGGAUUUCCAUUCCGCAGGUCUUGAGGUUGAUCAGGAACAUGGUGAGGAACUGGGCGAUUCUCUCCUCCGGAUCGGACAAGGACAAGUUGAUGAGCUUCGUGGAAACCCUAACAAGAUCCCUCCAGAAACCGUUGGCGAUCACUUGUGGCUGA